UACGUAAGGUGCAAGCGUUAAUCGGAAUUACUGGGCUUAAAGGGUGCGUAGGCGGCUUUGCAAGACAGAUGUGAAAUCCCCGGGCUUAACCUGGGAACUGCAUUUGUGACUGCAUGGCUGGAGCUGCGGCAGAGGGGGAUGGAAUUCCGCGUGUAGCAGUGAAAUGCGUAGAUAUGCGGAGGAACACCGAUGGCGAAGGCAAUCCCCUGGGCCUGCACUGACGCUCAUGCACGAAAGCGUGGGGAGCAAACAGG
rnacentral:rRNA from 1 species